rnacentral:rRNA from 1 species
AUGGUGGAUUUCCCGGAAGGGUUGCGACGGCUCGCUGCUCUCAUGCUCAAGUGCUGCGAUCUCGACAUACCAAAUCGUCCCAAGGGCCUCGAGGAUCCUGAGCGUCUGGCAAGGGAAACAGUUUUUAGCGUAAAUGAGAUUGAGGCAUUGUAUGAGCUGUUCAAGAAGAUCAGCAGUGCUGUGGUUGAUGAUGGUGUGAUUAAUAAAGAAGAAUUCCAACUGGCGCUGUUUAAGACUAACAGGAAAGAUAGCAUGUUUGCUGACCGGGUGUUUGAUUUGUUCGACACGAAGCACAAUGGGAUUCUCGAAUUUGAAGAAUUUGUGCGAGCUCUUUCUGUAUUCCAUCCUAAUGCACCAGUUGAUGACAAAAUUGAUUUUGCUUUCAAACUCUAUGAUCUCAAACAACAAGGUUUCAUUGAAAAGCAAGAGGUGAAGCAAAUGGUGGUUGCCACACUUGCUGAAUCAGGAAUGAACCUUUCUGAUGAGGUUAUAGAGGGUAUUAUCGACAAGACAUUUGAGGAAGCAGAUACAAAGCACGAUGGUAAAAUCGACAAGGAGGAAUGGCGCAAUCUUGUCUUGAGGCAUCCAUCUUUGUUGAAGAAUAUGACACUCCCAUAUCUAAGGGAUAUUACCACAACAUUUCCAAGCUUUGUCUUCAACUCUCAGGUCGAGGAUGCUUGA